UAAUUACAGAGGAAACAGUUGGAUUCACCUGCUGCAGGAAAACCCCACCCCGCCGCGCACACCUCUAGCAAAAUGGCCGACAACAACCUGACAGUGGUGCUUACAGAGCUUAAAAAUGUGCGGAAAUAGCACAUUGGGGCUUCUCAAGAUAGAAAACUACUCCAUCCAAUGUAAAGUCCACCCUGAAGGAUGUUCUGGAACGUACAACUAACCGAGGUCUAACAAAGAGUGAGCGACAUGGAGGAUAAACACACCACGACAGGCCAGAGCCAUUCGCUACCUGCUUCACAGAGAAGCUAAGCUAAGCUAUCUUCCAGGUUCGAGGAUUUAGAAUCCAGAGCAAGAAGGAAUAAUGUGCGCAUAUAUGGGAUUAAAGAAGCGGAAGACAAAGAUAUUAUGAUGGACUACAUAACCCGCUUGAUUCGCGGUCUACCAGAUGAUAAGGAUGUAUGUAUAGAAAGAGAACAAUGCUCGCUGACGGUGAAACCUCCUGACUCAUCAUCUAGAUCCAUCAUUGUCCGAUUCUCCGAUUACAGUUAUGGACGAAGUGCUCCAACAAGCCUGGAAGAAAGUUACGGAAAGGUACGGGAAGAACUGUCUGCGAGGGAAGUGGAAGCCCGUUCCCGGCUCGAUUGAGAAUUUAUCUAGAAUCUGGUGUUAAGACUUUCACAACGCGGUCCUGAAAAAGAUAGGAAUCCAUGUCAAGGUCGAGGAAUGGGAAAAUCUACAGAGAGAGCAGCUGCGCAACCAGUGGGACACGGUGCAGACCACGAACGCCUAAGAUAGAGCCAUUCUCCAGUUCUCCAGAGGACUCAGCACCUCACCACCGAGUCGCAUUUCUUUAAGAUACAUACUCUUUGCCGCUGUCCAUGGUGCUGCACCUGGACUCCACAAGUAAGUAAAUACAUACUCUUUGCCGCUGUCCAUGGUGCUGCACCUGGACUCCACAAGUCAACACCCAGGCUCAGCUCUGUACCACUGGAAGCCUUGCACGUCCUCGCUCAUCACUGGUCUGCUGUCUCGUUGACUCUUCUGGAUCUUUUCCCCUGCAGCAAAUCAUUCGUCACUCAUCAGCGUCAUUUGGACUUUGCACAUGUAAAACAUUUUUAUUCUCAUCUGAUUCCUGCUCUGAGUACUGCAUUUUUAUGUAUUCCUCUCAAAGAUCAAUGUGACAAAAAUGCACUAAUUUACCUGUAAUUUGUAGGUAUGUCCGUUUUAUAUUUAUAAUUCAAAAAAUAAUUUUUUGGACAUCAUCCAUUGAUCAGAAGUAAAAUACUAUACUAAUGGUUGACUAAAAAUGUCUGCAAAAAAUACAUAUAUUUUUCAAUUAAUUAAAAUGCACUGAUUUG